CAACCCCUGUGACAUACCACUUGUUGCCUCGGCGGAUCAGCCCGCUCCCGGUAAAACGGGACGGCCCGCCAGAGGACCCCUAAACUCUGUUUCUAUAUGUAACUUCUGAGUAAAACCAUAAAUAAAUCAAAACUUUCAACAACGGAUCUCUUGGUUCUGGCAUCGAUGAAGAACGCAGCAAAAUGCGAUAAGUAAUGUGAAUUGCAGAAUUCAGUGAAUCAUCGAAUCUUUGAACGCACAUUGCGCCCGCCAGUAUUCUGGCGGGCAUGCCUGUUCGAGCGUCAUUUCAACCCUCAAGCACAGCUUGUGUUGGGACUCGCGUUAAUUCGCGUUCCCCAAAUUGAUUGGCGGUCACGUCGAGCUUCCAUAGCGUAGUAGUAAAACCCUCGUUACUGGUAAUCGUCGCGGCCACGCCGUUAAACCCCAACUUCUGAAUGUUGACCUCGGAUCAGGUAGGAAUACCCGCUGAACUUAAGCAUAUCAAUAAGCGGAGGA
rnacentral:rRNA from 1 species